CUUGAGAACUAGAAACAAGCAGGGGGAAGAAGCGGGCCAGCCUGAGGGCCCUGAGGACCUGUCCCGCGGUGCUGCGUGCACAGCACAGUGUCCAGGAUGGCCGACGGCCACGUGAACCUGGAUUCGUGUGCCAGGAGGACCCUGCAGGACAAGGGUCAGGUCUCGGUCUUCAGAGCCCUGAUGCAAGGAUGAGCUGGCGUAGGUCAGGGUCGAGGAGGGGCUGGAGCCGGCCAGGGUCACAGCCCCCGCAGCUGGGAGACGUCACCUACCCAGGACGGUGCCGACCAAGGACUCACCACCCGUGCCCAUGCUGCCAGCUCUGGGGCACGUGACUUCACCUCUCUGAUCUGCACUCAGCAGUAGUGGUCAGAUCUGCCAC
rnacentral:lncRNA from 1 species